rnacentral:lncRNA from 1 species
UUUAAGAAGAUAUUCCAAAACAAGGCCAUGCACACAUGUUUGGUCAAACAUAUUGUGUCCACUCCAUGCUCAUGCCGUCAUGCCUAUAUAUACACAUAGUAUUAGCUAGAGGCUAUACUUGUCAACAACAUCAAAAGAAAGAGAAAAUUAUAUAAAGAGAAACGGUGACAUGAAGAAUGAGAAGUUGUGUGGUAGCCAAGUGAUAUGAUCCUCAGAGGAGGAGGAACCAGAGAUAGCUGGCAGGAUUACUCGUUCCAGAGCUAGAGAGAUGGUUAAGGAGGCUCACGCACUCAUUGCCACAGAGGACAGCGAUCACCAGGAGGCUGGAGCUCACAUCUUCAACAUCUCUAUCUUGAAGAAUGAAGAAUCCAGUAACAAUGACUAUGUAACUUAGGUGAUGAUUUUGUACUCUUUUCCUUGGUGAAGAUUUUGGAAGGCAAGGAGGUUCUUCUCCAAGGUUUUUAACGAGGCAGAAAUCAUUGCUACGUCGAGUUACUUAGAAGUUGUUACUAAUGGGUAAUAAUGUGCAAAGUCAAAAUGACUUGUGCACUAGUUGUUUUAGGCGCACCACUUAGGAUUAGAAGGGACGCCUCGCUGUUUUUAUUUUAAAUCAAACUUCAUGUUGUUUUUAUUUAAAUUUCAUGUAGUUUUGUUUCUUUAGGGCUGCGAUUUCUCUAAGUCUAUAUAAUAGAGAAAUCGCCUAAGUCAUUAGGCAGCUUGGAAUUUUAACGUAAAAGAGAUAGCAAAGUUUGCUUUGACUCCUUGACUCAAAAAGUUCAUUGAAUUCGAUUUUCUUACAAGUGAUUCUUACAAGAAAAUCUGCUACCUAUCAUCUAAUCGAUUUCAUCAUCUUCUCUUCUCAUCCACCACCAUAUCCAUCGAACUCAUCCCUCC